ensembl:lncRNA
CAGCUCAAGGCCAGCGCUGUUUGCAGAACCGUGAAGCAAGCAGCAAGUCCAAACGCUGCAGCUAGGUGGCAAUCCAGGAUGAGGAUAAAGACGGCGCACAGAAUCCGAGAGAUACUUUUAUUUCUUACGAAAGAUGGCAGCGUUAAAAACUGCAGCAGUGUUAAAAAUAGGUACGUCACAGAUUUAUUUGUUAAUAGAAAGGAUGUUUGUCAUUUUAGGCUGUUUUUGAAACCUAAAACUGCUUGGGAAAUUUGGUUAAGCAGCUCUUCAAUAAAACUGAAAUAUCUCCUGAAGGUGGUACCCAGUCACAGCAGAACGACCAGCAUGAAGAACUUGAGUGGGAAAAAGGAAAACACCUUCUGCAUGGCCAUUAGUCUGUCCAUGCUCCUCCUGGCACGAGAAAGGUCCAACUCUGCAUUUAGAGGAAGCAGAGCAGAGCAAGAACUGCUGCCCAUGUAACUGACUGCUGGGCUAUUUCUGGAUCUCUUGUUUAGUGCUAAUAAACCCCAAAGCUUUGAAGCUAGGAUUUCACCCAGAUGGGAAGAGGAAAAUAUUUGAACUAUCACAAAUAUUUACAUGGAUGGAAACUGUAGAGCUGUCAUUGUAACUGCAGCUCUCCAUUCACCUGCCUUAAAAGGUGCCUUUCCCUUUGCUGUCAAGGGGAAGCUUUCUGCAUGUCUCCAAGCAACUUGUCAGGCACCAGCCUACACUUGUCAGGCACCAGCCUACAAGCAGGGAAACCUUACAGCACUGCUGAGACAUGUGCAGAUGUUGGUCCUUUGUUUUAAUACACAAGGCCACGGAAAGCUUCAGGAACCUCUCUUUUGCUGGCUGCAGGAGCAUUAAGGCAGGUGCAGCACUGGGUGCUCAGCUCUGCAGGACGCCCUGAGCUAUUCUUCCAACCCCCCCGCCAAAAAGAGGACCUCAUAAAGGAGCAAACAUCUCCCUUGGCCACACACAGCCCCACUGCACUGCCAAUGGGCAUGGAUCCAAAGGCAGCUCAAACCCAAACACGCUUAGCAUUCAUAUGGCUUGGAUGGAAAAUAAGUGCUUGGGAAGGCAUGAGAAGAGAGAAAUUCCACCUAAUUCCUAAAACCUAAAUGAUAGGAUCAUUAAGGUUGGAAAAGACCAGCAAGGUCAUCCUAUCCAACUCCAACCCAUCGUUGCUCAGCAAGCAGUACAACUGUCCAGCAGCCCAAAUGGGGAUGUGCCAUGGGGAAGUGGUUGGGACACGGGAGGACACGUCAUGGGGAAGUGGCUAGAAUCAAUUGGGAUGUGCCAUGGGGAAGGACUGGGAUCAAUGGGGAUGUGCCAUGGGGAGGUGUCUAGAACCAAUGGGAAAUCAAUGGGGAUGUGCCAUGGGGAAGGACUGGGAUCAAUGGGGACAUGCCAUAGGGGAGGGUCUGGGAUAAAUGAGAUUGUGCUGUGGAGAAAUGGCUAGAAUCAAUGGGGUGUGCCAUAGGGAAGGGCUGGGAUCAAAGACCCUCAUGGCUCCGGGGGUGGCUGGAGGCAGGUACAAGCCAUUCCCAACCAGCUGACAACAUGAGCAAGACUUAGCAUCGAGGAGGAAUGUGGGGAUUUACUCCUCAAGGCCCACCGUGUCCGCCAGGACUACAGCCCAAACACUGCAGCCACAGAGCAUGUGCUCGAUAAGAACCCAGCAACAGAUGCCAGCGGAUUUACUGUGGGCCAGGAGGCCCCGUGCAGGUCUGCAGGCUGCUGGCAGGGUCAGCUGUAAAUAUUCCCUCACAAUCAAAGGCAUUCAUCGAAGGAUUACAUGCUGGGGACUUUGUGGUAAAGUAAAUUUGCAGCUAGCAGGACCAUUAAUAGUCAAGCAGUAUAGUGGCUCACUGGCUGCCAUUGAUUUUCCCCCAGUCAUUUUUACUACAUAGGGCUGAGGGGCUUGAAUGGUGUGGCCCUAAGAAAUCAGCUUAGGGGUAGGAGUGGGGGCUCCUCCGACAAAGAGAGCUCAACAACAGUGGGUGACGCCACAUGUGAGCUGAUUUCAUAACCUGAUGGAGAUCAGCCUCAUCCCUGCCGAGGGGUGGGAAGCGCCAGUUCCUCUAAAGCACAUUCAUGGGGUGUUUGAAAGGCUUGGGAGGGGAAAGGAGAAAGGAAUGGCUGUGAAAUAAAAGUACAAGGCUGCUCACACCCCACUGUGAUACUCACAGAGCAGAAACACCCACAGCAGAAACUGAAUCACAUAUAGGGGCAGGAAAGGACAUAGGGGCAGAGUGAGAUGUAGGAAUAGGAUGGGAUAUAGGGACUGGGUGGGGUAUAGGGGUGAACCUGGGAUGUCACCUCCCCAGGGCCUGUAGGUGUCACCAUCCAUGGCAUAGGUCCUUGCUGCAGCUCAGGUUGGGUUGUUCUGCAGCCCUGCUUCCCCUGGCAUCAGAGAAAGGAAUGAGGAAAGGAGCCAAGAGGGAAGCUAACACCAAUCCCAUUACAUCCUACUACCG